CCUACGGGAGGCAGCAGUCGAGAAUUUUUCUCAAUGGGGGAAACCCUGAAGGAGCGACGCCGCGUGGAGGAUGAAGGUCUUCGGGUUGUAAACUCCUGUCAUUUGGGAACAAGUGUCGGUACUUAACUGCUACCGGCUUGAUAGUACCAGAAGAGGAAGAGACGGCUAACUCUGUGCCAGCAGCCGCGGUAAUACAGAGGUCUCAAGCGUUGUUCGGAUUCAUUGGGCGUAAAGAGCUCGUAGGCGGCUUAGCAAGUCGGGUGUAAAACCUCCAGGCUUAACCUGGAGAGGCCACCCGAUACUGCUAUGGCUAGAGUCCGGUAGGGGACCACGGAAUUCCUGGUGUAGCGGUGAAAUGCGCAGAUAUCAGGAGGAACACCGGUGGCGAAGGCGGUGGUCUGGGCCGGUACUGACGCUGAGGAGCGAAAGCGUGGGUAGCG
rnacentral:rRNA from 1 species